UACGAAGGGGGCUAGCGUUACUCGGAUUGACUGGGCGUAAAGGGCGCGUAGGCGGUUCGUACAGUCAGAACGUGAAAUUCCUGGGCUCGAACCUGGGGGCUGCGUUUGAUACGUGCGGGCUUGAGUUCGGAAGAGGGUCGUGGAAUUCCCAGUGUAGAGGUGAAAUUCGUAGAUAUUGGGAAGAACACCGGUGGCGAAGGCGGCGACCUGGUCCGAUACUGACGCUGAGGCGCGAAAGCGUGGGGAGCAAACAGG
rnacentral:rRNA from 1 species